rnacentral:rRNA from 1 species
ACUCCUACGGGAGGCAGCAGUGGGGAAUAUUGGACAAUGGGGGCAACCCUGAUCCAGCCAUGCCGCGUGUGUGAAGAAGGCCUUUUGGUUGUAAAGCACUUUAAAGCAGGGAGGAGAGGCUAAUGGUUAAUACCCAUUAGAUUAGACGUUACCUGCAGAAUAAGCACCGGCUAACUCUGUGCCAGCAGCCGCGGUAAUACAGAGGGUGCGAGCGUUAAUCGGAAUUACUGGGCGUAAAGCGAGUGUAGGUGGCUCAUUAAGUCACAUGUG